rnacentral:rRNA from 1 species
UACGUAGGGGGCAAGCGUUGUCCGGAUUUAUUGGGCGUAAAGAGCGUGUAGGCGGUCUGGUAGGUCCGUUGUGAAAACUCGAGGCUCAACCUCGAGACGCCGAUGGAAACCCUCAGACUAGAGUCCGGAAGAGGAGAGUGGAAUUCCUGGUGUAGCGGUGAAAUGCGCAGAUAUCAGGAAGAACACCCGUGGCGAAGGCGGCUCUCUAGUACGUGACUGACGCUGAGACGCGAAAGCGUGGGGAGCGAACAGG